CCCGAGAUGGGCUCUUCCUCCACCCAGGUCGCAGACCUCCUUCCUGCCCCACCAGGCAGAGCAGCCCUUAGGGAGCCCCGGCUUUGGGCUCAUGACCCCCAGAAUGGCAAGCCCUUCCUCCAGAGCCUUUUUUGGGAGCAGGGUGGAAUCCCUUUCCAGGCCUCCCUUCAGCACAAAAGCCCCAGGUCAUCUUCUUUUGUGUCCUUCAGUGUCAAGACGGGAACAACCUGGAUGUCUAAAAAGAGGCCCUGAGCCGGGUGUGGUGACACACACCUGUAAUCCCAGCACUCUGGAGGCUGAGGCAGGAGGAUCACCUCCAGUGAGAGGCCAGCCUGGGCUACAUACUCGUGUUUUUCCCUGUGCUUUGCCUCAAGCUGAGGGAGGAGCUGCUCGUGAGGAUGCAGUGCCCCCUGGUGGCUGGAGGGCCUUUCCCUUCUUCCCCUGGGCUUGAUUGAAUGCUGACCUCUGGUCCCCCGAAGUUCUUACCAACGUUUGAGCCAGGAGCUCGCUGUUUCAUUUGUCCUUCACUCUGCAGCUGACCCUGCCAGGCCAGGGUAGGGGCCUGCUUCUGG
rnacentral:lncRNA from 1 species